AGCCUAUGAUAUGAGAGAACUGAAUGAAGAGGAAAUUUUAUACCUGUAGCCGCAGAAAGAUCCUUGGAGGAGGUAGCUAAGUGGCAGUGGUAAUCAGCAAGAUAGCUGGGUUGUCUUCUGACUCUCUCGGAUCGCCUAAGGAUUGUGGGAGAUGCUGGAGAGUCAGGUAACAAAGAAGAUUCAGAUGAAAGAGAAUCUGCAUCUGGGUU
rnacentral:lncRNA from 1 species